AACAAUCUCACCUCGGGGCAAAAAAGAAAAAAAAAAAGAAAAAACUUUUCUUCGAAAUUUUUUUUCUUUCGAUAUGUCGCUGACACCCUAGAAUGGAUGAAUUGAAAGCCAUUGGAGAUCAUAUCAACUUACAAAGCCCUAAUCGACUCUCACAUGGUCAGUUUCUUCAGGAUUGUGGGAGCUGGUGGAUGAGCACCGGAUUAAAUGCCUUUGAAAAGAAACGAUAGCAAUUUUUUUGGGGUAUAUCUUGCGGAUUCAUUCAGGUGUUGAAUCCCACUACUUUACCGUGGAAGCAGCAACUACUCCAAGUCGCACAUAACCAAGUGGAAUGUCUGUCAUGAUCAUUUUAUCAGUUAUUGGAUUUUGAAGAACUUGAAGAUUGAGAUAAAGUCGUAAUUUUUGUCUCUCUCAUUUGAUUAAUGGGUAGUUGCUUGUAUCACAUUACUGAAGUUUGGAGUAACAUGAGACAGAUAUAACACGGUUUCUAAUGCGAUGAGCUCCACGUGAUUAGCUCGAA